rnacentral:misc_RNA from 1 species
UUGUGGAGGAGGACGCCGAAGGUGGGGCUAAUGACUGGGGUGAAGUCGUAACAAGGUAGCCGUACCGGAAGGUGCGGCUGGAUCACCUCCUAACAGGGAGACAACAAAAUGUAAAUAUUAAUUUUGUCACCUUAGGUCGAUCGGUAUCUCAGGUUCUUAAUUUUAAGAAUUUCAUUUCCUAAGUUUUUCUAGGUCACACCCAUUACUUUUUCCUGGGCCAUUAGCUCAGGUGGUUAGAGCGCACCCCUGAUAAGGGUGAGGUCCCUGGUUCAAGUCCAGGAUGGCCCAUAUCUCUAUGUUGGGGGUAUAGCUCAGUUGGUAGAGCGCCUGCUUUGCAAGCAGGAUGUCAGCGGUUCGAGUCCGCUUACCUCCACUGAAUACCACCUCUUACAUUUUUUAAUUGUGGGGAACUGUACUGAGUCGUGUACCUUUUUGCUCUGAGCGAAUCUAGCUUCCUAUUUUUUUACAAUUAAUAAGAUGCUGGACUCAUUGAAUUUUAUUCAUUGUUUUCAGAGAACCUUGACAACUGCAUAGAUUAUUUUAGAAGACAAUAAGCAUCUUUAAUGAUGCAGAUUUAUUAUUUAUGUUUAAGCAUUAAAUAACAAUUCUAUUAAGCUGAUGCUUCAAUUAUUGAAGUUAUUGGUCAAGCUACAA